rnacentral:rRNA from 1 species
GACGAACGCUGGCGGCGUGCUUAACACAUGCAAGUCGAACGGGUCUGCCUUGUUUUUUGCGGGGUGGGUUAGUGGCGAACGGGUGAGUAACACGUGAGUAACCUGCCCCUCACUUCUGGAUAACCGCUUGAAAGGGUGGCUAAUACGGGGUGUUCUGGCUGUGCCGCAUGGUGUGGCUGGGAAAGAUUCACUUUUGUGGUGUUUUGGUGGGGGAUGGGCUCGCGGCCUAUCAGCUUGUUGGUGGGGUGAUGGCCUGCCAAGGCUUUGACGGGUAGCCGGCCUGAGAGGGUGGGCGGUCACACUGGGACUGAGAUACGGCCCAGACUCCUGCGGGAGGCAGCAGUGGGGGGUAUUGCACAAUGGGCGGAAGCCUGAUGCAGCGACGUCGCGUGAGGGAUGGAGGCCUUCGGGUUGUGAACCUCUUUCGCCGGUGAAGAAGGUCCUGUUCUUUGUGGUGGGGCUGACGUAGCCGGGU